rnacentral:rRNA from 1 species
UACGAAGGGGGCGAGCGUUGUUCGGAUUUACUGGGCGUAAAGGGCGCGCAGGCGGCGUGAGAAGUCAGGCGUGAAAGCCCCGGGCUCAACCUGGGAGGUGCGCUUGGGACUCUCAUGCUGGAGUUCGGGAGAGGAGCGUGGAAUUCCCAGUGUAGAGGUGAAAUUCGUAGAUAUUGGGAAGAACACCGGUGGCGAAGGCGGCGCUCUGGACCGAUACUGACGCUGAGGCGCGAAAGCGUGGGGAGCAAAC